rnacentral:rRNA from 1 species
UACAGAGGGGGGCAAGCGUUGUUCGGAAUUACUGGGCGUAAAGGGCGCGUAGGCGGCCGCCUAAGUCAGACGUGAAAUCCCACGGCUCAACCGUGGAACUGCUCGGUAUACUGGUUGUCUUGAGCCACUUAGGGGCAGUCGGAACAGACGGUGGAGCGGUGAAAUGCGUAGAUAUCGUCUGGAACGCCAAAGGUGAAAACAGACUGCUGGGAGUGUGCUGACGCUGAGACACGAAAGCCAGGGGAGCAAACGGG